AUUGAACGCUGGCGGCAGGCCUAACACAUGCAAGUCGAGCGAGCGUCGGGAGGGUGAGUAUUGUCUGGGAUACUGCCUGCUGGAGGGGGGUAACUACAGGAAACGGUAGCUAAUACCGCCUCCCAUCAGAUGUGCCCAGAUGGGAUUAGCUGGUGGGUGGGGUAACGGCGCCCCUAGGCGACGAUCCCUAGCUGGUCUGAGAGGAUGACCAGCCACAUUGGAACUGAGAAACGGCCCAGACUCCACGGGGAGGAGGCAGGGGGGAAUAUUGCACAAUGGGGGAAAGCCUGAGGCAGACAUGCGGCGUGGUUGAAGAAGGCCUCGGGGUUGUAAAGCACGUUCAGCGGGGAGGCGGUACCCGAAGAAGAAGCACCGGCUAACUCCGUGCCAGCAGCCGCGGUAAUAC
rnacentral:rRNA from 1 species